rnacentral:rRNA from 1 species
UACGAAGGAUCCAAGCGUUAUCCGGAUUUAUUGGGUUUAAAGGGUGCGUAGGUGGGCUAUUAAGUCAGUGGUGAAAGCUUCCCGCUUAACGGGAAAAUUGUCAUUGAUACUGAUGGUCUUGAGUGCAUUUGAAGUGGGCGGAAUGUGUCGUGUAGUGGUGAAAUACUUAGAUAUGACACAGAACACCGAUUGCGAAGGCAGCUCACUAAACUGUAACUGACACUGAGGCACGAAAGCGUGGGGAUCAAACAGG